CAACGAAGGCUACACACGGACCCCGGACAUCAGGAACAGCCAACUUCCAACACAGUCUGACUCUACUUCUCACAAGUCUGGAACAUUCCUCUACACAGACUAGGCCAUCACUGUCUGGGAUGUACCUAGCGAGACCUCCUUCUUGCAAGCAAACAGUUGAUCCCAGUGCCACAACAUCAACACAGGAUUUGAUGGUCCACAACACAUCAACAUGGAUUGAUACACACGAAGCUGAAGAAGAUGUAGCUGCCUCAGAGAUGAGUGUGAGCUUUCAGGAGAUGUCACUGGAGGACAAUCCCUCAGACGUCAGCUACUUACCUCCCAGUGGAUCAUCUCAAUCAAGUCCUGAUAGUGAUUCUGGUUCAGCUUCUGCCAAUGGAGAUGGGUGGGCCGAAAGGAAGUGGCUGGUAUCUGA